UGAAUUGAAUUCCAGUAUUUCAGAACACAGUAUAAAGCUUUUAUUGCCUUAACAAAUGUAACUCAAUGUAUUAAUACUUCAAAGACUUCAGUUAGCUAGCUAGACUUUGCCUAACUAUGCUUUUAUUAAGAAUAUCCAGAGCUACAGUCAUCAUGGAAAAGAGAUCCAUCAGAUAAUCCAAGAUGACUGAAAGAGGCACAGAUCCAGGCAGUAAGCAGCAAUGACAGCACCACUGGCAGAAUCCCUUCAUUUCUGCAGGUAAGUAGUACGGCUUAAUCUCUUCCUGCUAUUCAAUAACUCAAAUUCUCUUCCUCAGAGCAGGAGGAGUCUAACUCCAUGAACCAUUGAGGAACCACACAGAGAUGGAGAAUUUCUAUUUUGGGGUGAAGCACAUGACACCCAUCCUAUGAGAUGAGAUAAGGAGUAUACAGCAACUUGAGCAGCCGAUAGAUGCCUAGAUGAAGCAGGUCGCAUGUCCUGCUGUUCCUGGAAUUAAUCAAGUAUUCAGUGUGUAGAUUUGCAUCAGGUUGGAACCUCAAUUUCUCAGCUGAUAUUCUGGUCUCCUGUUUAGUCUACUACAAUUAUUCUAGGAUUUUUGCCCUCAGGAGAGUGCAUAAAAUAACAACAAUUUUUACAAGGUAUCUUACUGCGAUUAUCAUAUGGAAAAAAAGUCACCAACAAGAAACUCUGAGACAAAUAAAAAGCAAGGAAAAGACUGUUGGGCUUGUAUGGAGCAGUUAUUAGGACUAUGUUACAGGUUGGAACUCCUUUCAAGUACAGUAGAAGUCAUUAAGAAAUCACACUCCUAGUCAAAGUAUAUGUAAAAAAAGUAACUGUUGGCAAAUGUUGAUUUUUUUAAUGGCAAUCAUUGUGGGCUGGAAUCAGAUGGUGCAAGUUGGUGUAUCUCCAUAGACUUUGUGGUAAGAUGAGGCCCUGAAACAUAAACCCUUAUAUCAGAGGCCCGGUAUGAGGCCUAAGGCCUGAACUAAAGUAAUGGUCAAGUAAAGUAAUGGCUUUGUUAACAUAAAUCGAAGUUAAGCUGUGAGCCAGAGGCAGGCUCUGCUCACAGAAGCUGGCAAAGAAAGAGCUGAUGUUGCAAAAAUACACAUACUUAAAAGGAACUGGACACAAGAGAUAUAAACAUAUGCCAGGAUGAUAGCAAAACACUCCGAUACUUGUACAUUACACAAAGAUAACAAAGAACAGGUCGACCCAUCCUAAAGACAGGGGCAAAUGGGUAAUAUGAUGGAUAGAGUUGUUUUGUUCAAUCCAACAUGUGCAAGGUGAGAGGCAGCACCUUACUACAUAGAGGGGUUGUACCUCAAUACAUCAGGAGUGAUGUGUAACUUGUUUGUACCUGUGUAUAAGAAUGCACCCCUGAGGAGCUGUCUUUGUCUGGCCUGGGGGCAGUGGAGAAUCCCGCCACUGACUGAGCUGGUCCAUUGUCAGAGAGCACAUAUGUACUAGCAGAACUGUAGACAUC